GACCUGAGCUGAAGUCGGGCGCUCAACCAACUGAGCCACCCAGGUCUUUGGCUCCAAUCCAACUGAGGAUUAGAAUGGCCACUCAGGAGUCACCAGGGAAUAAUGUCAAAAAAAAAAAGCGUAUUUACAAAAUCCUCCCAUAGAAGAAUAAAAAGCCGUAUGUGACCAAAUGGAUGCCAUAUAGGACAGAAGCUUAUCUUUGAUUCUAAGAUGAGAAGGUCUAAGGGGGGCCUGGGACUUGGAGUAAAAGGACUCCAGAGCUGUGGGUCGGGUCACAGAAGACUCAAAGAAGUUUCCUCAAGAGGAAAUACUCACGGAU